GGGAGGCAGCAGUGAGGAAUAUUGGACAAUGGAGGAGACUCUGAUCCAGCCAUGCCGCGUGCAGGAAGACGGCCCUAUGGGUUGUAAACUGCUCUUAUACAGGAAGAAACAGUCCCUCGAUGAGGGAUCUUGACGGUACUGUAAGAAUAAGGACCGGCUAACUCCGUGCCAGCAGCCGCGGUAAUACGGAGGGUCCGAGCGUUAUCCGGAAUCAUUGGGUUUAAAGGGUCCGUAGGCGGGUGAUUAAGUCAGUGGUGAAAGUCUGUAGCUCAACUAUAGAAUUGCCAUUGAAACUGAUUGUCUUGAAUUAUUGUGAAGUGUUUAGAAUAAGUAGUGUAGCGGUGAAAUGCAUAGAUUUUACUUAGAAUACCAAUUGCGAAGGCAGAACACUAACAAUAUAUUGACGCUGAUGGACGAAAGCGUGGGUAGCGAACAGGAUUAGAUACCCUGGUAGUCCACGCCGUAAACGAUGGAUACUAGCUGUCCGGUAGCAAUACUGGGUGGCUAAGCGAAAGUGAUAAGUAUCCCACCUGGGGAGUACGUUCGCAAGAAUGAAACUCAAA
rnacentral:rRNA from 1 species